AUUGAACGCUGGCGGCAUGCCUUACACAUGCAAGUCGAACGGUAACAGGCCUCUGGCUCCUGGAGUGAGCCGCACAGGUGUGUAUAAUACCGAAAAAUCUGCCGGGUAGGGGGGUAUAACGGCGAGAGACGUGCUCUAAUACCGCGUGCUUCCUGGGUGAAAGAGUGGGACAGCUUCGCACUGCACGCUAUCGCAUGAUCCUAGGUCGGAUUAGCUAGUUGGUGGGGUAAAGGCCUACCAAGGCGACGAUCCGUAGCUGGUCUGAGAGGAUGAUCAGUCACACUGGAACUGAGACACGGUCCAGACUCCUACGGGAGGCAGCAGUGGGGAAUAUUGGACAAUGGGCGCAAGCCUGAUCCAGCCAUGCCGCGUGUGUGAAGAAGGUCUUCGGAUUGUAAACCGCUUUUAGUUGGGACGAAGGGCAGUCCGUUAAUACCGUGCUGUAUUGACGUUACCAACAGAAUAAGCACCGGCUAACUUCGUG
rnacentral:rRNA from 1 species